rnacentral:sRNA from 1 species
GCGCAGGCCAUGCCAACCGGACGCGACGGGAUAUGGGGAACACGGUGAUUUUUCCGGUUUCUCACCGUAGCCAACGAAACGGCAGACGAGCCCCCCCAACCGUCUGGUUU